rnacentral:rRNA from 1 species
CCUACGUGAGGCAGCAGUGGGGAAUAUUGGGCAAUGGGCGCAAGCCUGACCCAGCAACGCCGCGUGAAGGAAGAAGGCUUUCGGGUUGUAAACUUCUUUUGUCAGGGACGAAGCAAGUGACGGUACCUUACUAAUAAGCCACGGCUAACUACGUACCAGUAGCCGCUGUAAGCAGUAGGUGGCGAGCGUUAUACGUAUGUACUGGGUGUAAAGGGCGUGGAGGCUGGAUUGCAAGUCAGACGUGAAAACCACGGGCUCAACCUGUGGCCUGCAUUUGAAACUGUCGUUCUUGAGUACUGGAGAGGCAGACGGAAUUCCUAGUGUAGCGGUGAAAUGCGUAGAUAUUAGGAGGAACACCAGGGGCGAAGGCGGUCUGCUGGACCGCAACUGACGCUGAGGCGCGAAAGCGUGGGGAGCAAACAGGAUUAGAUACCCGGGUAGUC